UGGUACCAGCCACUGCAAAAACAUACC
rnacentral:piRNA from 1 species